rnacentral:rRNA from 1 species
GACGAACGCUGGCGGCGUGCCUAAUACAUGCAAGUAGAACGCUGAAGAGAGGAGUUUGCUCUUCUUGGAUGAGUUGCGAACGGGUGAGUAACGCGUAGGUAACCUGCCUUGUAGCGGGGGAUAACUAUUGGAAACGAUAGCUAAUACCGCAUAACAAUGGAUGACACAUGUCAUUUAUUUGAAAGGGGCAAUUGCUCCACUACAAGAUGGACCUGCGUUGUAUUAGCUAGUAGGUGAGGUAAUGGCUCACCUAGGCGACGAUACAUAGCCGACCUGAGAGGGUGAUCGGCCACACUGGGACUGAGACACGGCCCAGACUCCUACGGGAGGCAGCAGUAGGGAAUCUUCGGCAAUGGGGGCAACCCUGACCGAGCAACGCCGCGUGAGUGAAGAAGGUUUUCGGAUCGUAAAGCUCUGUUGUAAGUCAAGAACGGGUGUGAGAGUGGAAAGUUCACACUGUGACGGUAGCUUACCAGAAAGGGACGGCUAACUACGUGCCAGCAGCCGCGGUAAUACGUAGGUCCCGAGCGUUGUCCGGAUUUAUUGGGCGUAAAGCGAGCGCAGGCGGUUUGAUAAGUCUGAAGUUAAAGGCUGUGGCUCAACCAUAGUUCGCUUUGGAAACUGUCAAACUUGAGUGCAGAAGGGGAGAGUGGAAUUCCAUGUGUAGCGGUGAAAUGCGUAGAUAUAUGGAGGAACACCGGUGGCGAAAGCGGCUCUCUGGUCUGUAACUGACGCUGAGGCUCGAAAGCGUGGGGAGCGAACGGGAUUAGAUGCCCUGGUAGUCCACGCCGUAAACGAUGAGUGCUAGGUGUUGGAUCCUUUCCGGGAUUCAGUGCCGCAGCUAACGCAUUAAGCACUCCGCCUGGGGAGUACGACCGCAAGGUUGAAACUCAAAGGAAUUGACGGGGGCCCGCACAAGCGGUGGAGCAUGUGGUUUAAUUCGAAGCAACGCGAAGAACCUUACCAGGUCUUGACAUCCCGAUGCUAUUUCUAGAGAUAGAAAGUUACUUCGGUACAUCGGUGACAGGUGGUGCAUGGUUGUCGUCAGCUCGUGUCGUGAGAUGUUGGGUUAAGUCCCGCAACGAGCGCAACCCCUAUUGUUAGUUGCCAUCAUUCAGUUGGGCACUCUAGCGAGACUGCCGGUAAUAAACCGGAGGAAGGUGGGGAUGACGUCAAAUCAUCAUGCCCCUUAUGACCUGGGCUACACACGUGCUACAAUGGUUGGUACAACGAGUUGCGAGUCGGUGACGGCGAGCUAAUCUCUUAAAGCCAAUCUCAGUUCGGAUUGUAGGCUGCAACUCGCCUACAUGAAGUCGGAAUCGCUAGUAAUCGCGGAUCAGCACGCCGCGGUGAAUACGUUCCCGGGCCU